GACGAACGCUGGCGGCGUGCUUAACACAUGCAAGUCGAACGGUGACGAGGAGCUUGCUCCUCUGAUCAGUGGCGAACGGGUGAGUAACACGUGAGCAACCUACCCUUGACUCCGGGAUAACAGUUGGAAACAGCUGCUAAUACCGGAUACGACCUCCGCAGGCAUCUGCAGAGGUGGAAAGCUCCGACGGUCAAGGAUGGGCUCGCGGCCUAUCAGCUUGUUGGUGAGGUAACGGCUCACCAAGGCGACGACGGGUAGCCGGCCUGAGAGGGCGACCGGCCACACUGGGACUGAGAUACGGCCCAGACUCCUACGGGAGGCAGCAGUGGGGAAUAUUGCACAAUGGGCGAAAGCCUGAUGCAGCAACGCCGCGUGCGGGAUGACGGCCUUCGGGUUGUAAACCGCUUUCAGCAGGGACGAAGUGAAAAUGACGGUACCUGCAGAAGAAGCACCGGCUAACUACGUGCCAGCAGCCGCGGUAAAAC
rnacentral:rRNA from 1 species